CCCUUAGAUGUUCUGGGCUGCACGCGUGCUACAAUGGCGUUUCCAGCAAGUCUGCGAACCCGAGAGGGCCAGCGGAUCUUCGAAUUGGCGUCGUGAUCGGGACAGUCGAUUGCAAUUAUUUGACUCAAACGAGGAAUUCCUUGUAAUCGCGAUUCAUCACAUCGCGCUGAAUACGUCCCUGCCCUUUGUACACACCGCCCGUCGCUCCUACCGAUUGAGCGAUCCGGUAAAUGUUUUGGAUUGGUGCCGGGGCGGCUCGCUGCCGGUCGCUACGAAAUUUUGUGAACCUUAUCGCUUAGAGGAAGGAAAAGUCGUAACA
rnacentral:rRNA from 1 species